AUCUCUCUCUUCUCUCUCUCUGAAGA
rnacentral:sRNA from 1 species